CAUAUUAGGAGCACUCAAUAUGGAACAUAACACCGGUACACAACUAACUAGGGCGGCAAAGGUGGAACAAAACAUCGAGCAAAAGGCCAAGACUACCACCUUUUACCAAGUAUAUGUGUGCAUUAAAUUAAAUACCAAUAAUAUUGUGAUACCCAAGAUAUCCAUGUUGUCACAUGGAACCAUCUGCAGCUGCAACUAACAACACUAUAUGAAGGGCUGAGAAAGUGGUAAAUAACCAAACAAUGGUUUGCUGGGAUGUGGAGGGGGUUAGAGGCUUUUCGUUGCAAUGUUGGGGGGCUUCACAUUCAAGUGGUAGGUAAUGAGACAUAAUGACAGAAAGGAGACAACUAGCAUGGCAAUGGUAGUAGUGGUAUCCAGGGAAAUGUUCAUCUUUCCUGAGAUCCCGCUUGGAAGAAGAACGAACCCGCGAAGUAGACGAACGGGUGUAAUUGAGCGAAUCCUCACACUCUGAAUCAGUUUCGGAAAUCUACUGAAAAGAAACAAUCCGGAAACAACGAUCAAUACAUGAUAAAUAUCACAACAUAUACAUGGCAUGAUGCACAAUCAAAUAUGAUGCAUGUCCUUUUAAUUAUGCAUGACAUGGAAAAGCACACCAAUUAACUUCUAAACAUUAUGUGAAGUUCAAUAUGCAAUGAGUUGCAUAUUGAUGAAACUCCAAAUUCGUAUUAUUUAGUUCACUCCCGUUUAGGUACACGACAAUAUUAAAUGUUAUUAAACAUGGCAAGCACGGUUCAAGAAUUCGUCCGAUUAACCAGUUAACUUGCGAGUUAAUCGCUACUCUUAGGGUGACCGAAUCGAAUAACACCUAUUCAUCGUGUUAACUUGCCAUGCCGAUUAAUUGGCCAGUUAGACUGAUUAAUGAGUUGUCAUACCGAUUAAUUAGUUGCCACACCGAUUAAUCAGUACUGUCCUAUUAACUGGUGGGUAAACGAGUCCCAAAAUUUUGGCACAUAAUGCCUCCCACCCCCUCUUUCUACUAAAUACCUAGGGUUUGGCCCUCCUCGCGCUUCCUCAUGCUCCUUUCAUCCCCUCCUAACCUGCCUGGUGGCUAGUCGUGUUCUCACCGGUGCCAGUCUUCGCACUACACCUGCAAGAUCUAGUUGCUCCGUCAUUCUGGUCGCUUGCCUCUAUCCCACCCCCCUUGGACACUCCCCAUCCUCUCCCAUGGGAUCUUCCCCAAUCUCUUCCUCAAUGGCGUCACCAUCAGGGAAGGUACUACCAUCUCCCCCCAUACCUUAGUGGAGAAUCCAGCAUUCAUAUAUUAGUAGAUUAAUUAUGAAUUACAAUUUUGUAGAUGGAUGGAUGGAACUGUUGGUUUUGGUUGUUAUCUGUAGUAUAUUAUGUAAUGUAUGUUAGCAAGUAUAUGGAUAAUUUUAAAUUUUUAAUUCCUCAUUUUGAAUUUUGAGAUUUUAUAUAUUUAGAUGUAUAAGAUUAUUAAUUUUACCUCUUAUCUAUUUUUUAUAUGCCUACAAUAGAAUAUUUUGGUACAUUACAUAGCUAGGUACAUGGAAUUAUGGUAUGCUAAAUAAUUUUUUUAGAUAUAAGUUGGCAAGUUUCUAAUUAAUCUACCGAUUAAUGGUCGACCAAUUAAUCUUGUUAAUAGGACAAUUCACCGAUUAAUCGCUACUCCCAAGCCGACCGAGCAGCUACCAGUUACCGAUUUCUUGAACAAUGAGGGCAAGAGGUGAAGCAUAAAUGAACCAUCUAUCUGGACAUUUUAAAUAAGGUCGGAAAGACCUUGUAGUACUUACAAAACGACCACAUAUGCUAAUUUCGAAAUUGGUCCGAAUCUGAACUACAACAUAUUUUAUAACUAUUAAAUAGGGAAACAAAAUGCACCAUGGGAUUCUACACGUCAUUUUACGCGAUUUACAUAUAUAGAUCACUCAAAACGAAGUUACAGAAAACACAAGAUAAAUAUGUCAUGUAUGCAAAAUGCAUGCUAACAACACCCAUAAACAUCUUAAAUCAUGUAUGCAAGAAGAUAUUAUGAACUACAUGAAAUUCUAGGAAAGUUUCAUGUAUGGUAUGUUCAAAAUGGAGCAACGGUUCAACAAAUACAACCAAUAAAAGCUAUAGCUAUAAUUUGUCCAAAACAGCAACAUGGCAUUUUGACACAUUAAACCAACAUGCUAUAAGAAUCUAAAGUGUAGAAACAAGACAUGGGGCAGUAGUUGACAUGAUGCAUAACAAUUUAUCUCAUACCAGCAAAUUGAAUAGAAACAUGGAUCACUAGAAAAUGAGCUCACAAAAUGGCUAUUCGAACACAGUUUGAGACUUAGAGAAAAUAAUAGUUUUUAACAUAACAGUUUUAUAUUGAAGCCAUAUUAGGAGAAAGAACAACAUACGCUACAUGACAUAUAAUGGCAUAAAAAUUUACAGCAUGGUAGUAGGCAUGAUGCACUUCAUUAUAUUCCAUAAUAGCAAGGUCUAAUUAUGCACAUAAUUACUGAUGGCAUCAAAACAAGUUGGCAUUCUAAACUAAGUAGUUUCUCAGACUUAGAAAAAUUAACAUGGUGCAAGGAUCAUCAGUUUUAUCAGAUUGAUAUGUUUGACAACAAAAUUAACCAGGAUGCAAAACCUGUACAUGAAAAUUAAUGACACAAACUGGUAGAGGAUAACAUGCUUUACAGUCCACUCCAUUGGACCAACCACAAAGGGGUUAUAGAUUAGUGGCAAUUCACAUCGAAACAUGGCAACAAAAUAUAGGAGAUUCCAAACUUAGAGUUAUUUUGGACCCUUAAAACAACAACAUUUUUCUGGCAAGUUCGCAUGAUGAAAACUACAGCUAAACAUGACAUUCAUGGCAUGGCAAACCAACUAACAACAAUUAGAAAUGGCAUACUACAAAUCCCUCCAUUGGCACACAUUCAAAAGGCACAUGGUUUGCUUAAUUUGAGCUUCGCAAAAUGAAACUUAACGUUAAAAGUUUAGCAGUUUUAACAUGAUGGCAACUUUAGAGCAACAUAUUGACAUGAUAGAUAAGAUUCACAUGCCAACCAGUGGCAUGGCAUCAAACUAGACAACACAUAGAACAAUUCUCAAGAAGGUACCACAUGCAAAAGACCUACAGAUUAGAUGCAAUCAUCCAUGAAAGUUCGAAUAAAAUAUCAGUUUUGCACAUACAAUGAGAUGCAAUUUUGCAAUUCAGAUUUCAUAAUGGAGAUGUAACAUAUGAUGCAUGCAAAUGCCACAAUCAUGUAGAGCACAUCAAGCACAACAUUUUUCAUAUAAAGUUUCUAUAAAUCGGAGCUACGGUUAUUUAGUUAUGAAAUAAAUCAUUUUAACAUGGCAUUUAUGCAAAUUUAAACAAAACAACAAGUUUAUACUUUUUAACAGGUGUGAAUGUUUGAUAUUAUUAGUCUACAUGAAAUUCUACACAUUUUUAUAUAUAAUGUUUUUCCGACGGACGGUUAUUUAACUAUGAGCAAUGCAAAUUUAUGGCAUUUUCUGUAAUUAUGAAAUGUUGUGACUAAUUGGGAAAUUCAUCGUUCGAAAAAAUAAUGCACAGGUUAAUCUGCUAGAAAUUGGCUGAAAUGAACGAGCGGCGGAUCAAAAAAGGCACACAAGGCGGCCGGUAGUUGGUUUUUCUCACCUAGGGUCCAUGAACUAGUUGGUAGUGCGGCCCAACAGUAGUUAGGGAGGCCCGUCCUUGGCACUAGCUUGGGCCGGCUUGGAGGCGAGUGCUCGGGCUUGGGACGAGUCCGUGACCCAGGGGGGCGCUAGCGUUGAUGUCGUUGUCCUCCUCUACUCGAACAAAGGGGAGAGCAGGGUGCGGCACCGAGAUUGGGGAGCCCAAAACCGAGUGCUGGAACUCCGGAGAGGCUAGGAAUGAGCGGGGACGGACAAAUCUAGGGCGCCCGCAGUGGAUCUCUUCGGUUUCAGCUUGUUUUGGCGAUGGAGCCCCAAAUCCAUGGAAACUGGGACCUCCUACAAGCCAUGGGAGAGGGAGAGAGAGAGGUUAGGGGGAGAGAGAGACAGAGAGAAUAACAUGAGGAGGAUGAAAGGGGCGCAACAGGUAGGAGAGGGGCAGCAAGGUCCUUGCCUAGCGGCCGUCGCCGGAAAGGUUGCGGGGAACUGGAGAGAGGGCUUGAGGUGGGCGCGGGGAGAUCUCGAGAAUGAGCGCCAUGAAUGGAAGAGGAGCACGGGAGGAGCUCCUUCGGGCGCUGGCGGUACCUCGGUCUGGGACUGGGACGGCCGGAUGUGGGUUUUCGGCGAGCUUGCGGUGGGGAUUGGCUAGCUGGGUGGUGGCGGUUGUGUGGCGGCGCACGGAAAAUGAGCAGGAAUUUGGGUUAG
rnacentral:lncRNA from 1 species